GCCAGGAUCGAACCCCGAUCCCUGAUGCUGUAAGGCAGCAACUCUACCGCUGCGCCACCGUGUGUCCGUUGGGUGGAGUAACUCCUUCGUAUAAUUGAAGUUGAGAGUGAAGUGAACCAGGCAUGUGUAUAAUAAUAUAUGUAGUAUUCAAGGCCUGAUCAAAGACCUGAAGGAUCAGCAUUCAAAUACUUGAAUAGCUUUCACUCCCUCUCAGAUGGUGGUGCAUGCGCAUUCGGCUUCCUGUAGAAGCACGGUGGGCAGCCCUAGGCCCAAGUUCAACACUGACCACAGGUGCUGUCUGUGUGGAGUUUGCACAUUCUCAAACCACUUGGAUUUCCAUCGGGCGUUCCGGUUUCCUCACACAGCCCAAAGACAUGUGAGUUUACAGGUUAAUUGGCCGCUAUAAACUGCCCCUAGUGUGUAGGGAGUGGAUAAGAAAGAGGGAUAAGAUAGAACCAAUGUGAAUGAAUGAUAGAUGGUUGGCAUGGAACAAGGUGGGCUGAAGGGCCUGUUUCCAUGCUAUGUACUGUAUCUAUUAAAAAAAACAGUUACUGCUUUACUGGUUCAUUAUUCUAAUGAUGCUGGGUAGUAUCUGGUCAGGAUAGUGUU